UACGGGGGGUGCGAGCGUUAAUCGGAAUAACUGGGCGUAAAGGGCACGCAGGCGGAUUGUUAAGUGAGAUGUGAAAGCCCCGAGCUUAACUUGGGAAUUGCAUUUCAGACUGGCAGUCUAGAGUACUUUAGGGAGGGGUAGAAUUCCACGUGUAGCGGUGAAAUGCGUAGAGAUGUGGAGGAAUACCGAAGGCGAAGGCAGCCCCUUGGGAAGAUACUGACGCUCAUGUGCGAAAGCGUGGGGAGCAAAC
rnacentral:rRNA from 1 species